AACACAGCUCAGCCCAGCCAACACAACACAACACAGUACAGCUCAGCCCAGCCAACACAACACAACACAACACAACACCACACAGUACAGCUCAGCCCAGCCACAAAACACAACACAGUACAGCCCAGCCAACACAACACAGUACAGCUCAGCCCAGCCAACACAACACAGUACAGCUCAGCCAACACAACACAACACAGCUCAGCCCAGCCAACACUACACAGUACAGCUCAGCUCAGCCAACACAACACAACACAACACAGUACAGCUCAGCUCAGCCCAGCCAACACAACACAACACAGUACAGCUCAGCCAACACAACACAACACAGUACAGCUCAGCUCAGCCAACACAAAACAGGACAGCUCAUCCCAGCCAACACAACAUAGUACAGCUCAGCCCAGCCCAGCCAACACAACACAGUACAGCUCAGCCCAGCCAACACAACACAGUACAGCUCAGCCCAGCCAACACAACAUAGUACAGCUUAGCCCAGCCAACACUACACAGUACAGCUCAGCCCAGCCAACACAACACAACACAGUACAGCUCAGCCCAGCCAACACAACACAACACAGUACAGCUCAGCCCAGCCAACACAACACAACACAGCUCAGCCCAGCCAACACUACACAACACAGUACAGCUCAGACCAGCCAACACAACACAACACAACACAGUACAGCUCAGCCCAGCCAACACAACACAGUACAGCUCAGCCCAGCCAACACAGUACAGCUCAGCCUAGCCAACAUAACAAAACACAGCUCAGCCCAGCCAACACUACACAGUACAGCUCAGCCCAGCCAACACAACACAGUACAGCUCAGCCCAGCUAACACAACACAGUACAGCUCAGCCCAGCUAACACUACACAACACAGUACAGCUCAGCCCAGCCAACACAACACAGUACAGCUCAGCCCAGCCAACACUACACAACACAGUACAGCUCAGCCCAGCCAACACAACACAUUACAGCUCAGCCCAGCCAAAACUACACAGUACAGCUCAGCCCAGCCAACACAACACAGUACAGCUCAGCCCAGCCAACACAACGCAGUUCAGCUCAGCCCACCAACACUACACAACACAGUACAGCUCAGCUCUGCCAACACAACACAACACAGCUCAGCCCAGCCAACACUACACAACACAGUACAGCUCAGCCCAGCCAACACUACACAACACAGCUCAGCCAACACUAUACAGUACAGCUCAGCUCAGCCAACACAACACAACAAAGCUCAGCUCAGCCAACACUACACAGUACAGCUCAGCACAGCCAACACUACACAACACAGUACAGCUCAGCCCAGCCAACACUACACAACACAGCUCAGCCAACACUACACAGUACAGCUCGGCUCAGCCAACACAACACAACAAAGCUCAGCUCAGCCAACACUACACAGUACAGCUCAGCUCAGCCAACACUACACAACACAGCUUAACUCAGCCAACACUACACAACACAGCUCAGCCAACACUACACAACACAGUACAGCUCAGCCCAGCCAACACUACACAACACAGUACAGCUCAGCCCAGCCAACACUACACAACACACCUCAGCUCAGCCAACACUACACAGUACAGCUCAGCCAACACUACACAACACAGCUCAGCCAACACUACACAACACAGCUCAGCCCAGCCAACACUACACAACAUAGCACAGCUCAGCCAACACUACACAACACAGCUCAGCCAACACUACACAACACAGCUCAGCCAACACAGCUCAGCCCAGCCAACACAGUUUAGCCCAGCCAACACUACACAACACAGCUCAGCCCAGCCAACACAUCACAGUUCAGCCCAGCCAACACUACACAACACAGCUCAGCCCAGCCAACACAGCACAGCACAGCUCAGCCCAGCCAACACAGCUCAGCCCAGCCAACACAGUUCAGCCCAGCCAACACUACACAACUAA
rnacentral:lncRNA from 8 species